rnacentral:tRNA from 1 species
UGCAUCGGCCGGGAAUCGAACCUGGGCCGCCCGCGAGACGCAGGCGAGCAUUCUACCACUGAACCACCGAUGG